UACAGAGGUCCCAAGCGUUGUUCGGAUUCACUGGGCGUAAAGGGUGCGCAGGCGGUCGUUCAAGUCGCGUGUGAAAGCCCCCGGCUCAACUGGGGAGGGUCACGCGAUACUGAUCGACUCGAAGGCAGGAGAGGGAAGUGGAAUUCCCGGUGUAGUGGUGAAAUGCGUAGAUAUCGGGAGGAACACCAGUGGCGAAGGCGACUUCCUGGCCUGUUCUUGACGCUGAGGCGCGAAAGCUAGGGGAGCAAACGGG
rnacentral:rRNA from 1 species